CCGCCAUCUUGCGCACGCCCCGCCACCGACGCAGACGCCGCGUCGCUCCUGAGGCACGUCGGGAAAUGGAGUGCGCGGUCUUUCCGAGCGGCGCUGCCCGUGCCGAGAAUCUCCCUCGGUCAGAAAGCCGCUCCCAGUGCGUUCGCGUGAACGCUGCGGAGGCGGGAGCCCGAGCUGAGGUGGAAGUCCGAGCUGGCGUUCCUGUCAGAGCGGGGACGUUUGGCGGGAACGUCGCGGAGCGGGGCUGUGGGCCGGCAGGUGUCUGCUCGGCUGCGGGACGGAGCAAGCAGAACUCCGGGCUGAGCACGCGUUGUGCGUUCUCGCCGCCGAGCCGCUGCUUUCCCCCCGUCAACCAGGAGGCGGCAGGCAGCACCUGGCAGAAGGAGUAGCGCUGUGGUAAUUUACCCAAAACGAAGACUGUCCUGUGGCUCUCUCUGAUAAUCCGGCGCUUGUGGGGUGACUGAAAGUAUAAGCGUGAUGGCAGAUUUUCCGUGCGACCCGUAAACUGGAAUAAGUCCAAAGGAUACCACGAGUGCUGCUGCCUGAGGAGCGGCACUGCGCAGUGCAUCCUUCUCCUCAGGUUAUUGAGCUGAAUGAAGUCACAGAGGGGUCUAAUGAAUGCCAGAGCCUCUGAGAAGAAAAGAAUGGAAGCAGAAUCUUCUCAUUUCAUUAGCAGCAAGUCUCCAGAUGGUGUCACGGUGUUUCAGACCAAAAGGAGGUGCUUUCAAAUACACAGCCUUUAAUCUGGAGGAAAUAUAUGCCCAGUUUGUAGCCCUCAUCGCUUCUACAGUGGCUAAUGUUGCUGCUUACAGACAUCCUCAGUCCCGCUGAGAAACAUCUCAGAAAACACAGCAUUUUGGAAGGACCCUGAGAAAGGCUAUGACAACGUUCUGCAAGAUAUGAAAUCUGGUAGACUGCCUGCUUCCAGUGACUCAGGGACCCUCUCAG